rnacentral:rRNA from 1 species
CUGGCGGCGUGGAUAAGACAUGCAAGUCGAACGCUAAUUAGAGGGUAGCAAUAUUCUCUAGUUGGAGUGGCGCAAGGGUGCGUAACACGUGGGUAAUCUGCCGUGAAGCCUGGGACAACUCGCUGAAAGGCGAGCUAAUACCGGAUGUGGCUGUCGGGAGACAUCUUCUGACAUUUGAAGCUGGGGACCGCAAGGCCUGGCACUUCAUGAUGAGCCCGCGGCCUAUCAGCUAGUUGGUGAGGUAACGGCCCACCAAGGCUAAGACGGGUAGCUGGUCUGAGAGGACGACCAGCCACACUGGAACUGAGAUACGGUCCAGACACCUAUGGGUGGCAGCAGUCGAGAAUUUUUCACAAUGGGCGCAAGCCUGAUGGAGCGACGCCGCGUGGGGGAUGAAGGGUUUCGAUCCGUAAACCCCUGUCAUUCGCGAACAAACCUUGUCCGAUAACACCGGACAAGCUGAUAGUAGCGGAAGAGGAAGAGACUGGAAUUCUCGGUGUAGCAGUGAAAUGCGUAGAUAUCGAGAGGAACACCAGUGGCGAAGGCGAGUCUCUGGACGACUCCUGACACUGAGGCACGAAAGCUAGGGGAGCAAACAGGAUUAGAUACCCUGGUAGUCCUAGCUGUAAACGGUGCACGUUUGCUGUAAAAGGAAUCGACCCCUUUUGUGGCGUAGCUAACGCGAUAAACGUGCCGCCUGGGGAGUACGGUCGCAAGAUUAAAACUCAAAGAAAUUGACGGGGGCCUGCACAAGCGGUGGAGUAUGUGGCUUAAUUCGAUACUACGCGAAGAACCUUACCUGGCCUUGACAUGCACGUGGUAGAAGCGUGAAAGCGUAACGACCCCGCAAGGGGAGCGUGCACAGGUGCUGCAUGGUUGUCGUCAGCUCGUGUCGUGAGAUGUUGGGUUAAGUCCCGCAACGAGCGCAACCCUUGUGUCCUGUUGCCACUCAAACGAGAGUUUGAAGCACUCUGGACAGACUGCCUCGCUUAAACGAGGAGGAAGGUGGGGAUGACGUCAAGUCAGGAUGGCCCUUACGGCCAGGGCUGCACACGUACUACAAUGCCCGGCACAAAGGGAAGCAAGACCGCAAGGUGGAGCAAAUCCCAUAAAACCGGGCUCAGUUCAGAUUGUCGGCUGCAACUCGCCGACAUGAAGCUGGAAUCGCUAGUGAUGGCGCAUCAGCUACGGCGCCGUGAAUACGUUCCCAGGCCUUGUACACACCGCCCGUCACAUCAUGAAAGCCGGUUGUACCCGAAGUCACCGCGUUAACCGCAAGGAAACA